GGACAUCCAUGGGGCCCCGCAGGUCAAAUUCCUUUCUCUAAGUAUGGGAGACAUUUUUAAAAACAAUGGAGUCUGCCAGGGCCAGCUGCAUGCUGUGGUGUGUACUCCUGACCGCUUUGGACCCAGGCUGCCCUGUCCCCACCGUGACCAGGGACUCACAGAGCUUACCGGGGGGACCUCUCCCCACAGUUACCCCGUCCGUCAUCAGCCUGAAUGCUGCCCAAUCGUCUGCACGGCAGCCAAGGAGGCCUCUGCUCCUAACGCACUGGGAGCCCUUGGAUGGCGCCUCGGUGAUGUGGCGAUGAGUGGGCACUGCGUGGGCGCCUUGGCCGAGCUUGGACACCCUAAUCCCCAGACUGGCCAUUGCGGUGGAGGAAGUGUGAGGGUGACACGGAGCGCGGUGUCGUGCUGCAGGGGACACCUCGUGACUGUAUGAGUCACGAUAGCCAGGGGCCCCUUCAGAUGUCACUUAGCCAAAGGAUGCAGCCCAGCCGGGCCUUUCUCCCCCAGGCCCGAGGACCUGCAGAGACAGGGCCCGCUCAGCACAGAUGCAGCUCUCAUGAGGCCUGA